rnacentral:rRNA from 1 species
UAGGGAAUCUUCCGCAAUGGACGCAAGUCUGACGGAGCAACGCCGCGUGAGUGAAGAAGGAUUUCGGUUCGUAAAACUCUGUUGUUAGAGAAGAACAGCGCAUAGAGUAACUGUUAUGCGUGUGACGGUAUCUAACCAGAAAGCCACGGCUAACUACGUGCCAGCAGCCGCGGUAAUACGUAGGUGGCAAGCGUUGUCCGGAUUUAUUGGGCGUAAAGCGAGCGCAGGCGGUUAGAUAAGUCUGAAGUUAAAGGCAGUGGCUCAACCAUUGUAGGCUUUGGAAACUGUUUAACUUGAGUGCAGAAGGGGAGAGUGGAAUUCCAUGUGUAGCGGUGAAAUGCGUAGAUAUAUGGGGGAACACCGGUGGCGAAAGCGGCUCUCUGGUCUGUAACUGACGCUGAGGCUCGAAAGCGUGGGGAGCGAACAGG